rnacentral:rRNA from 1 species
GACAGAGGGGGCAAGCGUUGCUCGGAAUUACUGGGCGUAAAGGGCGCGUAGGCGGGAUGGCAAGUCGGUCGUGAAAUCCUUCGGCUCAACCGAAGAACGUCGAUCGAUACUGCUGUUCUAGAGGAUUGCAGAGGAGGCUGGAAUUCCCGGUGUAGCGGUGAAAUGUGUAGAGAUCGGGAGGAACACCGGUGGCGAAGGCGGGUCUCUGGGCAAUUCCUGACGCUGAGGCGCGAAAGCGUGGGGAGCAAACGGG